UCUGCCUCUAGAGGCACUGCAGGUGUGGCUGCUGUGUCAUGUGUUCCUUAGUAAGUGGCAGAGAGGAGAGAGGCUAUGUCUACACUCAGUGUUCUGGCAUGUGAACAUCUGAGCCCAAGACAACCACCAGU